CUUUCUGGAGCACGGAUGGGACUCAUUCAGCGUCACGGUCCUGCAGGCCAACCCGUUGUGGUCUGUGCUUCAGAGAAAAAGAGCAGAAAAGAUCUGGAUUAGGAAAUUAGGUACUAUACAUCCCCAAGGCCUUAAUGUGAAGUGAAUCCAUUUGAGCGAACGACAUAGAUGGCCUGUGCACACAGUGAAACCGGGAAAGGAACACAACAGUGUCAAGGACAUCAAGCCACAGACCAGCCGAGUCGACGAGGAAACGAAAGACCAGGAGACUCCGCCCACAAACACCAACAGUCCAAAAAAGAAUCCUGGAUCAAAGGAAGAUCGUCCGGAUAAAAACCAAGGACAACACUCAAUUGAGGACUGGCGAACAGAUGGUAGGCAGGACCUGGACACCGACACGGGCAAAUUGAAGUCCAGGCCCAAGGCCACGCCCCAGAGGUCCGGCCAGCAACCACGCCUGUGGGGGAGGACGACGAUACAGAUGGCGCCACUGUUAACACAAAGAGGAUAAGGAUGACAAAGAGUAUUGAACGGAGUGAAUCUCGUGCUGAAACCCACUCUGAAUCUGCCCCUCCUGAACAUAACACAGUGGCAAAAUCUGAUGGAGUAUCCUCGGACUCCACAGACGAUGGGCUUUUAGAUAUCAUCGAUUUAUAUAAAAAAACCAAACCGACAUAUCAACACCGAUAGGAAAGCAAUAGAUU
ensembl:lncRNA